rnacentral:rRNA from 1 species
AUGAACGCUGGCGGCGUGCUUCACACAUGCAAGUCGAACGAAGCACUUUAUUUGAUUUCCUUCGGGACUGAUUAUUUUGUGACUGAGUGGCGGACGGGUGAGUAACGCGUGGGUAACCUGCCUUGUACAGGGGGAUAACAGUUGGAAACGGCUGCUAAUACCGCAUAAGCGCACAGCAUCGCAUGAUGCAGUGUGAAAAACUCCGGUGGUAUAAGAUGGACCCGCGUUGGAUUAGCUAGUUGGUGAGGUAACGGCCCACCAAGGCGACGAUCCAUAGCCGACCUGAGAGGGGGACCGGCCACAUUGGGACUGAGACACGGCCCAAACUGCUACGGGAGGCAGCAGUGGGGAAUAUUGCACAAGGGGCGAAAGCCUGAUGCAGCGACGCCGCGUGAGCGAAGAAGUAUUUCGGUAUGUAAAGCUCUAUCAGCAGGGAAGAUAAUGACGGUACCUGACUAAGAAGCACCGGCUAAAUACGUG